UCGAGAAUCUUCCGCAAUGGACGAAAGUCUGACGGAGCGACGCCGCGUGAUGGAUGAAGUCCCUCUGGGACGUAAACAUCUUUUAUGAGGGAGAAAGUUUAUUGAUAGUACCUCACGAAUAAGGGGUUGCUAAACUCGUGCCAGCAGCAGCGGUAAUACGAGUGCCCCGAGCGUUAUCCGGAAUCAUUGGGCGUAAAGGGUGUGUAGGUGGCAUUGUUAGUCACACGUUAAACCCUGGGGCUUAACCCCAGAUCUGCGUGUGAUACGGCAAAGCUAGAGGAUGGCAGGGAUGUAUGGAACUCAUGGAGUAGGGGUGAAAUCCGUUGAUAUCAUGGGGAACACCGAAAGCGAAGGCAGUACAUUGGGCCACUCCUGACACUGAAACACGAAAGCGUGGGUAGCGAAUGGGAUUAGAUACCCCCGUAGUCCCUGAGCGGGCUGGCAAGGCGCAU
rnacentral:rRNA from 1 species